GGGGGGGGGGGGGGGGGGGGGGGGGGGGGGCGGGGGGGGGGGGGGGGCGGGGGGGGUGCGGCGCGGGGGUUGGCGGCGGGCGGGUGGGGGGCGGGUGGGUGCGCUGCCUGGCGGCCUGUGAUCACUUCGGGGAACCGUAGCUCAUGCCGGCUCCUCUGGUGCACCGCAUUGUGCACUAGUGAACGACUGUUUUGCUGUCCCUUAUCGCUGACUCCGCGCCGCAUUAGCUAGUUGGUAAGGUAACGGCUUACCAAGGCAACGAUGCGUAGCCGACCGGAGAGGGUGAUCGGCCACACUGGAACUGAGACACGGUCCAGACUCCUACGGGAGGCAGCAGUAGGGAAUCUUCCGCAAUGGGCGAAAGCCUGACGGAGCAACGCCGCGUGAGUGAUGAAGGUCUUCGGAUCGUAAAACUCUGUUAUUAGGGAAGAACAAAUGUGUAAGUAACUAUGCACGUCUUGACGGUACCUAAUCAGAAAGCCACGGCUAACUACGUG
rnacentral:rRNA from 1 species